rnacentral:rRNA from 1 species
GACGAACGCUGGCGGCGUGCCUAAUACAUGCAAGUCGAGCGAGUCUGCCUUGAAGAUCGGAGUGCUUGCACUCUGUGAAACAAGAUACAGGCUAGCGACGGACGGGUGAGUAACACGUGGGUAACCUGCCCAAGAGAUCGGGAUAACACCUGGAAACAGAUGCUAAUACCGGAUAACAACAGAUGAUGCCUAUCAACUGUUUAAAAGAUGGUUCUGCUAUCCAUCUUGGAUGGACCUGCGGUGCAUUAGCUAGUUGGUAGGGGAACGGCCUACCAAGGCGAUGAUGCAUAGACGAGUUGAGAGACUGAUCGGCCACAUUGGGACUGAGACCCGGCCCAAACUCCUACGGGAGGCAGCAGUAGGGAAUCUUCCACAAUGGACGCAAGUCUGAUGGAGCAACGCCGCGUGAGUGAAGAAGGGUUUCGGCUCGUAAAGCUCUGUUGUUGGUGAAGAAGGACAGGGGUAGUAACUGACCUUUGUUUGACGGUAAUCAAUUAGAAAGUCACGGCUAACUACGUGCCAGCAGCCGCAGUAAGAC